AUUGAACGCUGGCGGCAUGCCUUACACAUGCAAGUCGAACGGCAGCACGGGAGCAAUCCUGGUGGCGAGUGGCGAACGGGUGAGUAAUAUAUCGGAACGUGCCCAGUCGUGGGGAUAACGUAGCGAAAGCUACGCUAAUACCGCAUACGAUCUAUGGAUGAAAGCGGGGGAUCGCAAGACCUCGCGCGAUUGGAGCGGCCGAUAUCAGAUUAGGUAGUUGGUGAGGUAAAGGCUCGCCAAGCCGACGAUCUGUAGCUGGUCUGAGAGGACGACCAGCCACACUGGGACUGAGACACGGCCCAGACUCCUACGGAGGCAGCAGUGGGGAAUUUUGGACAAUGGGCGCAAGCCUGAUCCAGCAAUGCCGCGUGCAGGAUGAAGGCCUCGGUU
rnacentral:rRNA from 1 species